UAAAAAAAUACAAAUAAAAAUUCUAAUCAAUAGUACAUAUAAAGUUCAAAACAUAUAACUAGAGGUAAAAAUAAUUAUAAUUACAUGUAACAGAGUGAUAUAUCCUGCAAGAUGUUUUGUCAUAUGCUUCAACGCAACAUUCAGAUUGUCAUACAUAUAGACCAGUGUAGCCACUCCCCAUGAAUAACCUCUAGAUUGGCUGAG
rnacentral:lncRNA from 1 species